ACGCGUGAGAAUCUGCCUUUUGGACCGGGACAACUGCGGGAAACGGCAGCUAAGACCGGAUGUGCCUUCGGGUGAAAUAUUCAUAGCCAAAAGAGGAGCUCGCGACCGAUUAGCUAGUUGGUGGGGUAAGAGCCUACCAAGGCUGCGAUCGGUAGCCGGUUUGAGAGGACGACCGGCCACACUGGGACUGAGACACGGCCCAGACUCCUACGGGAGGCAGCAGUGGGGAAUUUUCCGCAAUGGGCGAAAGCCUGACGGAGCAAUACCGCGUGAGGGAGGAAGGCUCUUGGGUCGUAAACCUCUUUUCUCAGGGAAGAAGCAAUGACGGUACCUGAGGAAUCAGCAUCGGCUAACUCCGUGCCAGCAGCCGCGGUAAUACGGAGGAUGCAAGCGUUAUCCGGAAUGAUUGGGCGUAAAGCGUCCGCAGGUGGCACAUCAAGUCUGCUGUCAAAGCCCCCAGCUUAACUGGGAAGAGGCGGUGGAAACUGGUGAGCUAGAGAGCAAUAGGGGUAGAGGGAAUUCCCGGUGUAGCGGUGAAAUGCGUAGAGAUCGGGAAGAACACCAGUGGCGAAAGCGCUCUACUAGGUUGCAACUGACACUGAGGGACGAAAGCUAGGGGAGCGAAUGGGAUUAGAUACCCC
rnacentral:rRNA from 1 species